rnacentral:lncRNA from 1 species
GCAAGCUGACGUUCUGUUUUGACAAAAGGUAAGCAAAUAAGAUCACUAGUUAACUUUUCUUUGAUAAAGUGUCAAUCUCAAUGUGCUUCGUUCUAUCGUGUUGAAUUGUGUCAUUUGCAAUACUAAUGGAUGCCUUAUUAUCAUAAAAUAAUUGCAUAUGCCUUUUAGUUGUAAUACCCAAAUCUUCUAGCAAGGUUCGAAGCUACAUUAGUUCACAUAUACCCAAGGCGAUAGCUCGAUAUUCAACCUCAACACUAAAUCUUGCUACCACAUACUGUUUCUUACUACGCCAAGUAACAAGGUUACCUCUAACAAAUGAACAGUAACCUGAUGUAGAACGACGAUCUUCUAUAGAGCCAGCCCAAUUUGAGUAAGAAAAAACUUCAACUUUCAUAUGACCAUGUGGCGCGUGGUACUGUCUUUUCCGACGGAGCUUGGUCUGGACUGUUCGCCUCUCUCUUCUCUUCUCAUAUAUAGUAGUUGUGCCUUGUUUGAUUCAGUCAUCUUGAUCUGGUUUCUUCGAAAACUUGCCCAGUGUUUGUUUUCCCUGGACUCUGUUUUUUGAUCCAUAGCACUGUCUUGAGGGAGUUGUUACUGCUUUGUUUUUCCGCCACUAAUUAUGAGGCUGAUCUGAAUUGAUCACAGGAUUCAAUUGAUUUUGCAGAUGGCUACCAUAUAUAUAUAUAUAUACAUAUAUAUAUAUUUGGUGCAACAACUUUCAGAUAAAUCUCAUAGUACUAUAUACGACUAUAUAGAUAUAGAGAGAUAAUUGACCUUGGAGCCGAGAGGAAACUCUCCUGUAAUUGACCUUGGAGCCGAGAGGAAACUCACUAGACUAGUAUAUAUAGAUAUAUGCCACUCUCUAAAACAAUACAUAAAGUUAUAAUCUAGUUCAAGCACACAAGAAGCUAAUUGAUAAGUAAGUGAUGAAAACCCCACUGAUUUCAGAAAAGGAAUUAGUAUCAACUAGCAUAUCAUAUCAAAAGAAGAGACAAGAGGGACACAUUACAAGGAAAACAGAACUUGUUAAGCAGAAAACAUAAAGAUUAUUAGUAAUAUUAAUUAUAGAUAAAGUUUGUUGUCACUAUCUAUGUCACUUUCAACUAUCUAACCCCACCUCCACUUCCACUUAAUUCAUCAAAAUAGCGACUCAUUGCAAACAAGAAAAUGCAGCUCACCCAGAGUUGAAGAUGAUUUCCAAGCUUUAGUACAAGUAUACAUCCAUGUACUGUGGACGACAAACACCAGAACAUGUCAAUAACUAAGUUGUAGUGAGCUUAGUGAUAACUUAAGUUGUGUGUCUGGUUUGUGGGCAUACUAAAUAAAAAGGAAAGGAAAAAAAGUAAUAGUCAAAAUUGUGCUUUGAUUAGAUGUCUAGGCUAUGUACAAAAGACCACAGAUCUUAGAAAAGAAUUAUAAGGAGUCCACAUGAAGCAUACUCUGAAACUAUUGUAUUCCUCCUUCACUUUCAAUUGAACAUCCUUUUGAGUAGCACGAACAUUAAUUGGACCAAUAAACAUUCUCAAAAAGGUUCCAUUCCUGUUCCAAAAGCAGAAACAUUUUUAAGCUCCUCUAAAUACUUGGCCAGUAGCUCAUUAACUAUACCUAUACGGAUCCCAAAAAAAAAUAGUGAUACUUUUAUCUGUGGUUCAUUGUUGUUGAACUUCAAAUACUUCCCAAGGAGUAUUCUUUUUUCAGGUGCAAAGGGAAGUUAAUCGAUGAAAUAUCUUAUAUGACAUGAAUAUCAUAAACAACGUGGUAUUGACACAAAGCACCCAUAAUAUUAAAACACUUGCACAAAUUCAAAUAGAAUAUGCUACUAAUACCUUUACACGUUGUUCUAACCACAAAAGGUUGUCUUUUUCACAAAAGCAGAAAAAAUCGUUACAUUCUUAAGUAUCGCAGAAAUCACAAAAGAAGUAUAUCUCAACAACAUUUUGAAAUUAUAUGUAUGAUGAUUAAACUAAUUAACAAUACAAUCAUUCCAAUUGCAACCCAAAUUGGCUCUAAAUAACACGAACUAGCAGAAGAAUUAAAAUAGAAGAAUUAAAGCCUUUUGACUUUUAUUCCCCUAUUGUAUAUGAAUCCCAUUUCCAGAGUAGAAGUUAUUAAGGUUUCCUAAGCUAUCUCUAACAUGCUUUCCUAAGGUUUUUUUUUCCAAUCCAACUUAUAAUGUUCUACAUUUACAAGUACCCAUGGCACCCUUUAGUUCACCUGCUAUCUGAAACACCUAUUUUCCUCCCUUCUUUCCAGAAUUAUAGAGCAAGGGAAAACAAAACUACGUUAUAGUACAUUAACAUACUUGAUGGCAUAAAUAUCUACAUAUAAAAUAGGUACUUGCUUGUAAUUAAUUAUUGGGGGUUGGUAGAUUAUCUUCUUUCAAAGGAUUUUUAAAUCUCUAGGUACUUGUUUUCAUAGGGUUUUUAAUCUCUAUACGAUAAUUAGUUUUCUUUGAUGAAUCCAAAUUGAAAAGAUUAUCAAACAAUUAUCUUAUGUAAGUUGGGGAGAAAAAAGUUUUGUGGUUAGCAUCAUUUGGAGCCGAACAAAUUUAUGAAACAAAAAUAGAUAUUUAAAAUAUACUUGAACAAUUUCUAGUACUCAUUUUAAACCUGAAGAUAUCUCUUGAGAGCAGUGCAAAUUGUGAUAAAAAUUCUGAAAACUUGUUUAAUAAAGACUGGAACUUUAAGCCACAGAACUGGCUGAUGAAAAUGAGCAAGAACUUGAACAGAACAACUUCAACAUGAAUAGAAUUUCUUCUUCGCUUAUUUCCUACAUGGCCAAACAAACCAAAUCCCAUUUGAGAAUUAAUUAAUUGUUAGAUUGAAAAUGAAGAGUGGGACAGAGAAAGAGAAAGGGUACUGAGAUUUACUUUGUUUUUUUCUUUUUAUCUGUUUUUGUUUCAUCUUUAAACUGCAUAUAUUGUUCAAGCAACUCCAUAGUUGUAAUCUGUUUUUGCUCUUCCUUUAAGAGGUUCAUUGCUUCAUUCUCUCGCUUUUCGUUUGUGCUCGAGUCUAUUUCAGUCUAUGGUUUUAGCUUUUGUGUUGCAGUCUAUUUAUAGUUUGUAGCAUGGUUUAUAGUCUACGGUGUCACUAUGAUGCUUUCAAUGGUUUCAGUUUGUCUAUGUUGUGCUACUGAACAUAGUUUCGCUGGUUUCAGUUUGUCUAUGGUUGUGAUUGUUGUGCGGCUGUGAUGCUUUUUAUUGUUGUGCUGCUGAACAUGGUUUUUUUCAGUUUGUCUAUGGUGGUUGUGCUGAACAUUGUCUAUGGUUGUUGGACAUAAUAUCACUUAUAUUUGGUGUCAUUAUGUACUGUAAAUUUCAUGUAAUGGACUUUUAUAAUUGUAACUGUAUGUUAGACUAUAUUAUAAAAUCCUUAAAGCUGAAGUUGUUUGUGUUAAUGUGGCAAAAUAUACUAGUGAAUGUAUAUUUGGCAAACUUUCGUAAUACAUUGUUUUAUUAACUCGGGUGAAUAGUUUCAAAAUGAUUCCAUUUUUGUAUUUACGUAAAAGUGAAUGUCAUUCUAAGCAUUGUAUAUUUAAGUAUGUGUGGUUUCUAUUGCUUUGUAUUGCUAUGGUUCAGUUUGUGUUGUAUUGCUAUACAGGGCAUGCAGGCUGCAGCUUUGUAUUGUUAUGGCUUGUUGGUAACAGCUACAAGGGAUACUUGGUUCAAAUUGUUUUGCAUAUUUGUGUUGUGGCACUUUGUAUUGCAACAGGUUUCAGUUGUUCAGUUUAUAUCUUGAUAUGGUUUCAUUUGUUCAGUUUGAACACAAUUGGCUUUCAUAUUAUCCACAUGUUUAGAUCGGGCCUUGUUGGCUUUACUCUUCAUGGAUCACUUUCUCAUUAUUACUAUCAGUUUUGUGAGGUAACCAUCACUGUUGGUUUGUCUGUCUUGUCAAAAUUUUCACAAGUAUAUAUAUUUCUAAAAUAACACCACCUAAUUUUCAGCCCCUUUUUCCUUUUCAAGACUUGUGGGUGGUUCCGGCCGAAGUAGCCUUUGAUCAAACUGUGUGGGCUGCUGCUUGGAACAGCAUUUACUACAGUCAGCCUCUUUGGUGAACUGAAGGCAUCAUUCUGGCCCAUGUUGAAGAAGGCCUUCUGCUCUCUGUCUCUCUCUCCUGGGUGGUUGUUUUUUCUCUUGAAAUGUUGAAGCAGAACUUUGGAGAAGAUGAAUUAUAUAAGGAACUUUAGUUUUGUGCAACAGGGGUGGUGGAG